GACCGCGUAGCUCAGUUGGCAGAGCAUUGGGCUAUAUAUUCCGAAGGUCGUAGGUUCGAUUCCCACCGUGGCCA